rnacentral:rRNA from 1 species
CAGCAGCCACGGUAAUACGGAGGGUGCAAGCGUUAAUCGGAAUUACUGGGCGUAAAGCGCACGCAGGCGGUUUGUUAAGUCAGAUGUGAAAUCCCCGAGCUUAACUUGGGAACUGCAUUUGAAACUGGCAAGCUAGAGUCUUGUAGAGGGGGGUAGAAUUCCAGGUGUAGCGGUGAAAUGCGUAGAGAUCUGGAGGAAUACCGGUGGCGAAGGCGGCCCCCUGGACAAAGACUGACGCUCAGGUGCGAAAGCGUGGGGAGCAAACAGGAUUAGAUACCCCUGUAGUCCCUGUCUCUUAUAA